UGUCAUUCGAUAACAAUAAUAUUAUUAUUAUUGUGUUGUCAUAUGGGUAAUUAUAACGCAUUAUAUAUUGUGUAGGAUAUCCCGUCCGUAACAAUUACACGUGAGCACUAAUAUGCCGGAUUACUUGACGAUUUAUCUCGAACUUCCUGGAUUAUACUUGUGUACGAAAUCACCGAAAGAAAAAAAUUUAAAAAAAAGGAG